rnacentral:rRNA from 1 species
GUGGGGAAUAUUGGACAAUGGGCGCAAGCCUGAUCCAGCAAUGCCGCGUGAGUGAUGAAGGCCUUAGGGUUGUAAAGCUCUUUUACCCGGGAAGAUAAUGACUGUACCGGGAGAAUAAGCCCCGGCUAACUCCGUGCCAGCAGCCGCGGUAAUACGGAGGGGGCUAGCGUUGUUCGGAAUUACUGGGCGUAAAGCGCACGUAGGCGGCCAUUCAAGUCAGAGGUGAAAGCCCGGAGCUCAACUCCGGAAUUGCCUUUGAGACUGAGCGGCUAGCAGGUGAGAGAGGUGAGUGGAAUUCCGAGUGUAGAGGUGAAAUUCGUAGAUAUUCGGAAGAACACCAGUGGCGAAGGCGGCUCACUGGCUCAUACUGGACGCUGAGGUGCGAAAGCGUGGGGAGCAAACAGG